rnacentral:rRNA from 1 species
ACGAACGCUGGCGGCGUGCUUAACACAUGCAAGUCGCACGGAAAGGCCCUGCUUUUGUGGGGUGCUCGAGUGGCGAACGGGUGAGUAACACGUGAGUAACCUGCCCUUGACUUUGGGAUAACUUCAGGAAACUGGGGCUACUACCGGAUAGGAGCUCCUGCUGCAUGGUGGGGGUUGGAAAGUUUCGGCGGUUGGGGAUGGACUCGCGGGUUAUCAGUUUGUUGGUGGGGUAGUGGCUUACCAAGGCUUUGACGGGUAGCCGGCCUGAGAGGGUGACCGGCGACAAGAGGACUGAGAGAGGGCCCAGACGGCUACGUGAGGCAGCAGUGGAGAGUAUUGCACAAUGGGGGGAAGCCAGAGGCAGAAGCGCCGCGUGCGGGAUGACGGCUUUCGGGGUGUAAACAGCUUUCGCAUGUGACGAAGCGUGAGUGACGGUAAUGGGUAAAGAAGCACCGGCUAACUACGUG